UACGAAGGUCCCGAGCGUUAUCCGGAUUUAUUGGGUUUAAAGGGUGCGUAGGCGGCUUAAUAAGUCAUUGGUGAAAGCUCGCAGCUCAACUGCGAAACUGCCAUUGAAACUGUUUAGCUUGAAUGUGGUUGAAGUGGGCGGAAUACAACAUGUAGCGGUGAAAUGCUUAGAUAUGUUUUAGAACACCGAUUGCGAAGGCAGCUCACUAAGCCAAUAUUGACGCUGAGGCACGAAAGCGUGGGUAGCAAACAGG
rnacentral:rRNA from 1 species